rnacentral:lncRNA from 1 species
UUCCUUCCAUAUACUGUUUGAUUUCUUUCCUUGUUUUGCAGGUGAAGAUCGGGGAAGAUUCAGAGCUUGGCUUGGCUCGGUUGCGGCGCUGUUGCCUCCUGGAAACCCUAGGGUUUCCUGAAUCAGUCUUGGGCCACUAAACUUUGGGCCCCUUGCUGUAUUUCGGGUUUUGGGCCUUAUGGCCUGUUAUUUGUUUUGUAAAAAACAAAUUGGGCUUUAUAUUUGGUUUUUUAUUUACAAAAGGGGC